AUAAACUGCUGCAGGUGUGACCAAUAAUUCUUAGUUCAGGAAAUUUCAUACAGGUAUAUAUAUAUAUAUAUAUAUAUAUACACACACACAUACACACACACACACAGAGGAAUGGAGACUUAACAAUUUGUAUCGAAGAUAUUAUUUUUCUCAAUGGAGCUCAAACUCUGUGGAAAUGGCAUUUUUCUUAAAGCACUUCCAGGAUAUGCUUCAGUGAGUGACCUAUUUUAGUAUUUUCUCCACCAAUGCAUUUUUAGUACCAGGCAGGCAUGCCACGAGAUGGGGUGUGUGGUGGAAUAUUAGAUUUUCCCACAUAGGAUCAGACCAGUGGGCUAAUGGUUUCGGAAUCCUGCCUCUGGCAGUGACCAUUACCUGAUGCUUCAGAAGCCAGGAAUGAAUUUGCAUGACCCCAGCCCUUGAGAUGUCCCCUGUGGAAAAAUAGGAAAUUGGCAAGUAGGAUCAUUUCACGGAUGUGCUGAAGCUGUCAUUCCUAGGAAUCUUUGGCUUCAACUCUAUGCCUGUUGAGGAUGGUCUUACUUCUCCAUGUUCUGAAACCAGUUUAAACAAAAACAAAAACCAGACAACAACCUCGCAAGGAGCUCAGGGUAAACAAACAGCCUUUUUCUGGAAAGUAAAAUGUUUCCCCAAGGUAAGUUACUUUUCCAAAGGAAUUACAGUCUAUCUCAAUGUUGAAUAGUAGGCGUUUUCUACUGGUCUGAUUAAUGUUUAGGAAAAAACAGAUUCUUGAAAAUUAGCCUAUUGUAUAAUUAUGUG
rnacentral:lncRNA from 1 species